GUGGCUCAGUUCAGAUCGUAGGCUGCAACUCGCCUACGUGAAGGCGGAAUCGCUAGUAAUCGCAGGUCAGCAUACUGCGGUGAAUACGUUCCCGGGCCUUGUACACACCGCCCGUCACACCAUGGAAGUUGGCCACGCCCGAAGCCGUUACUCCAACCCUUGUGGAGGAGGACGUCGAAGGUGGGGCUGAUGACUGGGGUGAAGUCGUAACAAGGUAUCCGUACCGGAAGGUGCGGAUGGAUCACCUCCUAACAGGGAGACAACACAAUGAUUUUGAUGCCUGAGUGCUUUUAUUCUUAGGCCGAAAUCCUGUCACCUUAGGUCGAUCGGUACCUCAGCUUUGAAGUCAAGGAUCAGCAGCAAUGUUGAUUGCUUGAUGGAGAUUUUCAGUUCCUAAACUUUGUCUAGGUCACACCCCAAAAGGGAUGAGACUCCUGGGCCAUUAGCUCAGGUGGUUAGAGCGCACCCCUGAUAAGGGUGAGGUCCCUGGUUCAAGUCCAGGAUGGCCCAUUCGGUGUUGGGGGUUUAGCUCAGUUGGUAGAGCGCCUGCUUUGCAAGCAGGAUGUCAGGAGUUCGAGUCUCCUAACCUCCACUGACCGAACUUGAUUCCCAUCUCCAAUUCUUUUGGAGUUGAGCUCGAUUGGAGUGUGAUUUAGAUGUGUCCGCUGGAUGACCCCAGCUUCCUGUCAUUCCAAGUUUUAGGUUGGUGCCUUGAAUUUGGUUGAUAAGAUGCUGGGCUCG
rnacentral:misc_RNA from 1 species